UACAGAGGUGGCAAGCGUUGUUCGGAAUUACUGGGCGUAAAGGGCGAGUAGGCGGCCAACUAAGUCGGAUGUGAAAUCCCCAGGCUCAACCUGGGAACUGCGUCCGAUACUGGAUGGCUUGAAUCCGGGAGAGGGAUGCAGAAUUCCAGGUGUAGCGGUGAAAUGCGUAGAUAUCUGGAGGAAUACCGGUGGCGAAGGCGGGUCUCUGGGCCGAUACUGACGCUGAGGAGCGAAAGCGUGGGGAGCGAACAGG
rnacentral:rRNA from 1 species